rnacentral:rRNA from 1 species
GUACAGGUUUCGUAGGUGAACUGUCNNAGGAUCAUGACAGAGUUCAUGCCCUUUCCGGUAGACCUCCCACCCUUGAAUAUAUACCUUUGUUGCUUUGGCGGGCCGCUUCGGCNACUGGCUUCGGCUGGUGAGUGCCCGCCAGAGGACCCAAAAUUCUGAAUUACAGUGUCGUCUGAGUACUAUAUAAUAGUUAAAACUUUCAACAACGGAUCUCUUGGUUCUGGCAUCGAUGAAGAACGCAGCGAAAUGCGAUAAGUAAUGUGAAUUGCAGAAUUCAGUGAAUCAUCGAAUCUUUGAACGCACAUUGCGCCCCGUGGUAUUCCGCGGGGCAUGCCUGUUCGAGCGUCAUUUCAACCCCCUCAAGCCUCGGCUUGGUCUUGGAGCGUGCGAGUUCUCGCAGCCCCUAAACUCAGUGGCGGUGCUAUUGAGCUCUGAGCGUAGUAAAUCUCCUCGCUAUAGAGUCUCGGUGGUUACUUGCCAACAACCCCCAAUUUUUAUCAGGUUGACCUCGGAUCAGGUA